UACAGAGGUCUCAAGCGUUGUUCGGAUUCAUUGGGCGUAAAGGGUGCGUAGGUGGCGCCGUAAGUCGGGUGUGAAAUUUCGGAGCUUAACUCCGAAACUGCAUUCGAUACUGCGGUGCUUGAGGACUGGAGAGGAGACUGGAAUUUACGGUGUAGCAGUGAAAUGCGUAGAGAUCGUAAGGAAGACCAGUGGCGAAGGCGGGUCUCUGGACAGUUCCUGACGCUGAGGCACGAAGGCCAGGGGAGCAAACGGG
rnacentral:rRNA from 1 species